AUAAUUUAACUAGCUGAGAUUGACACGUCAUUGCAAAUGAAAUCGCACACCAGGGGCGGUAUAUUUUACUCAGCUUCCAGACGGCUGGUUCCAUCGAAGGCUCCAAUGAUCAUUUACAAAGAAACCGCAGGUUUUAACGUCGGAUCACGAUGUAACAGACGACGAAGGAACAUUUGUAUAGUGUAGGAGUUAAUGACGUUCGGAAGUUAUUAGUCGAUCAAUUACUUAAAAAGAAAACCCCCAAUUAAGUACUAACUACAUCACUGAACCACGAAAUAUUUUAAAAAUCUUCAUGAAACAAAGACUUGGUUGUGGUAAGAAACUUAGGUACUGCUUGGAAGAGCGUAUUUACCAUUAGUAAAUAGAUACAUAAAUAAAUUUUAUUUAAACUCGUUAA